rnacentral:rRNA from 1 species
UACGUAGGGGGCAAGCGUUGUCCGGAUUUAUUGGGCGUAAAGAGCGUGUAGGCGGCUUUACAGGUCCGUUGUGAAAACUCGAGGCUCAACCUCGAGACGCCGGUGGAAACCGUAAAGCUAGAGUCCGGAAGAGGAGAGUGGAAUUCCUGGUGUAGCGGUGAAAUGCGCAGAUAUCAGGAGGAACACCAAUAGCGAAGGCAGCUCGCUGGGACGGUACUGACGCUAAGGCGCGAAAGCGUGGGGAGCGAACAGG